ACCUUCGUUCCCGCGCUUUGUUCGGAUUCACUGGGUGUAAAGGGCGCGUAGGUGGUUGUCUGUGUCUCAUGUGAAAACUCAGGGCUCAACUCUGAGAUUGCGUGGGAAACUAGGCAGCUAGAGGACGGUAGAGGGGAGUGGAAUUCCCGGUGUAGCGGUAAAAUGCGUAGAUAUCGGGAGGAACACCGGUGGCGAAGGCGGCUCUCUGGGCCGAUCCUGACGCUGAGGCGCGAAAGCUAGGGGAGCGAACCGGAUAAGAUAACCCCGUAGUCC
rnacentral:rRNA from 1 species